rnacentral:misc_RNA from 1 species
AAUUAAUUAAAAAUGAUAUAUGUUUUAAAAUAAUAAGUAAAAAAAAAUUAUUACAAUGACAUAUGUUGAUAAAUGUAGCAUUACCAUUUUGCUAAUGAUAAUAGAUAUAGAACAAUAUAUCCUUAUUAUGUUAUGUGGUUUAGUGUUAUAAAUUAUAAACUAUUGAAUUAUAGAUCAUGAUUAUCAUUGUGCAUGUGCUGAAACUCCAUUUAAAUUUGAACGAAUAAUUAAAUAAUAAAAAAAAGGAUAUUGGAAAAAUUAAAAGGUCUGAAUAAUAUUAAUAUAAAAUGUCAUGAUUUGACAAUUCUAAUUAGAGAAGUAUAUUAAAAAAAAAAAGAAAGUAGAGGAAGAGGGAAAAGAAUGGCUAGUGGA